rnacentral:rRNA from 1 species
CAGCGGCCCUAGUGGUGAUCGUUAUUAUUGGGCCUAAGGCGUCCGUAGCCGGUUCGGUAAAUCUCUGGGUAAAUCGUUGGGCUUAACUCAACGAAUUCUGGGGAGACUGCCGAACUUGGGACCGGGAGAGGUCGGAGGUACUCCAGGGGUAGGGGUGAAAUCCUGUAAUCCUUGGGGGACCACCGGUGGCGAAAGCGUCCGACCAGAACGGGUCCGACGGUAAGGGACGAAGCCCUGGGGCGCGAACCGGAUUAGAUACCCGCGUAGUCC